GGUGGAGAGUCAGGAGACGAACAAACCUGGCGGCUGUUGGAGAGCCUGUGAACGGCAAAUCACUCAGUACUGACCCGCUGUUUCCUCUCAGUGGAUGUGUUUUCCCUCCUGUGAGGGUCGGACGCCAUCACAUGUCGCCCAGUAAAAGAACAGAGUCAAAGGGUCGACCAAAAACACCCCAUUUGUCAUUUUGACAGAGCAGCUAACGUUAGCGGUGUUUCACUAGCCUGCUAACAUAACACGAACACGGCUUGCAGAGGCUAGUUAGCUGCUCCGGCUAGCGUGCUAGCCUCUGUUAGUUACAAACACUUGACUUGCUGCUGCUGGAGGGACCAAGAAACGAAGAAGGAGCGUUUUAACCUCAUCGGAGCCUGUGCCGUUAGCUUCACCAAGCUCCAAAGGAUAUAUCUCGGUGUGGAUACACGACCCAAAGGAGUCACCGGAAAGGCCUGCUGUCUUUGUUCACCUCCACAUUUCUGAGCCUCCCACCUUCCACCUCCAGUGCCCCUGGCUCAGUCGGUGGCUCAGCAUCACUUCAAAGGGGAAGGUCUGCGGUGCUGCAGAUAACACGCUGUACCCCCAAGCACCGGCAAGCUUUUCCCGAGCCCCUACGCAGUCCCUCAACUGACAAGAAGGAAUCAACCCUUGGAGUCGGACCUGGAGUGGAGAAGACCAAUUGUGGCCUGAAGAAAGACAGACAGAGAGGACU